GAACCUUACCAGGUCUUGACAUCCCCUGACAACCCAAGAGAUUGGGCGUUCCCCCGUCGGGGGGACAGGGUGACAGGUGGUGCAUGGUUGUCGUCAGCUCGUGUCGUGAGAUGUUGGGUUAAGUCCCGCAACGAGCGCAACCCCUAUUGUUAGUUGCCAUCAUUAAGUUGGGCACUCUAACGAGACUGCCGGUGAUAAACCGGAGGAAGGUGGGGAUGACGUCAAAUCAUCAUGCCCCUUAUGACCUGGGCUACA
rnacentral:rRNA from 1 species